rnacentral:lncRNA from 1 species
GAUAGAAUAACCACGAUUUCCACCGCUUCGAUCGUGGGUAGCACGUGUCAUGCGGAGAUGAAGGGGCAAGGGCAGUUAUGUCCGAUGUUUUUUGCUUCACACCGUUUUCACCUAAGCUAUAAAUAGUCCCUUACCACCCCUCAGUCAAAAACUCUUCCUCCCUCUCGACUCCUCCGCUCGAGCUCAAAACCUAGCGCCGCCACUAGCAUCCUCAUCGUCGGUGAGGAACAGCUUCACUGCCUCGACCUCGCCAUCGCCAGACUCAUGCUGACUACGGAACAUCGUACUCUACCGCCGCCGUAGCUGUCUUCAAUCGCCGAGUUAGGGCACUAAAGAUCUGAGCCAAAGAACUUCCGUUUUUACCUCCUUAGUUCAUCGUGUUCUUCAUACAGGGUAAUUAAAAGUCUAUUUUACCAUCCUGUUUGACCCAUUUAUUCUCAUUGAAUUCGUGAAAUUAGUUUUUCCUCAAAGAAUCUCUCAGCUGUGCACACCCAUGUCUAGAACACAUGAUGAAUUUCUCUAAGCCCUUAAAUUCUUCACGAGAUUCCUGAAUUGUGUAAAUUUUUGAAUCUGGACAACUCUGGAACCCAAGAUCAGAAUGCUUAGUCAAAUUCCUCAACAUACUGGUCAAAUUCCUCAACUUAAAGAUUUUUUUA